GGGUGCGAUCAUGCCAGCACUAAUGCACCAUAUCCCAUCAGAACUCUGCAGCUAAGCGUGCUUGGCCGAGAGUAGUACUAGGAUGGGUGACCUCCUGGGAAGUCCUCGUGUUGCACCCC
rnacentral:rRNA from 1 species